rnacentral:rRNA from 1 species
UACGAAGGGGGCUAGCGUUGCUCGGAAUGACUGGGCGUAAAGGGCGCGUAGGCGGAUGGCACAGUCAGAUGUGAAAUUCCUGGGCUUAACCUGGGGGCUGCAUUUGAUACGUGUGAUCUAGAGUGAGGAAGAGGGUUGUGGAAUUCCCAGUGUAGAGGUGAAAUUCGUAGAUAUUGGGAAGAACACCGGUGGCGAAGGCGGCUCACUGGCUCAUUACUGACGCUCAGGCGCGAUAGCGUGGGGAUCAAACAGG